CUUAGACCUGAGAAACAGAAUAAUGUUUUAUUAUUUUAUUAUUUUAUUAUUAACUAUGUUAACAGUAUAAUGUUUUUUUGUCUGUUUGUUUUCAGAGACUCCCCAGAAAAUGUAUAUGCAAUUUUACAGAGGAAACUAUUCACUUAUAAUGAAAACCCUCUUCAGUUCCAAUCAUUAAUAAUUAUUGGCUCAGGGGCUCAUGCAUGCCUUGAAGAAGCUGUGGCAGAUGGGAGUCAGAGGAAGAGAUACAAGCAUCCAUCAUGUAAAAAGAGGAAGAUUGUGAGAAGGAAGACAACAUGGACUAACUCUCAAUUUUGGCAACAGCUGAUUCUGAAUCUGUUGUGGGAUAGUUUUUCUCCAGUAUUUUUCAGUUAACUAUGACAGUAAGGAAACAAAGUUGCAGAGGCUGAUUGCUUGACAGACACAGACGAACACUUCACAUAAAAUGAAAAAAAAAAAAAAGGAAAAAAAUAAAGGUGUGGUAUACCAGAGGUAUACA
rnacentral:lncRNA from 1 species